rnacentral:rRNA from 1 species
CCUACGGGGGGCAGCAGUGGGGAAUAUUGGGCAAUGGAGGCAACUCUGACCCAGCAACGCCGCGUGAAUGAUAAAGGCCUUCGGAUUGUAAAGUUCUUUUCUAAGGGAAGAAGAAAGUGACGGUACCUUAGGAAUAAGCCUCGGCAAACUACGUGCCAGCAGCCGCGGUAAUACGUAGGAGGAAAGCGUUAUCCGGAAUGACUGGGCGUAAAGGGUGCGUAGGUGGUUUGACAAGUUAGUGGCGAAACUCCGGGGCUCAACUUCGGAACUACUACUAAAACUGUUGGACUUGAGUGCAGGAGGGGCGAUCGGAAUUCCUGGUGUAGCGGUGGAGUGGGUAGAUAUUAGGGGGAACACCAGUGGCGAAGGCGGAUUGCUAGACUGUAACUGACACUGAGGCACGAAAGCGUGGGAGCAAACAGGAUUAGAUACCCUAGUAGUC